rnacentral:rRNA from 1 species
UGGGGAAUUUUGGACAAUGGGCGAAAGCCUGAUCCAGCAAUGCCGCGUGUGUGAAGAAGGCCUUCGGGUUGUAAAGCACUUUUGUCCGGAAAGAAAUCCUUGGCUCUAAUACAGUCGGGGGAUGACGGUACCGGAAGAAUAAGCACCGGCUAACUACGUGCCAGCAGCCGCGGUAAUACGUAGGGUGCAAGCGUUAAUCGGAAUUACUGGGCGUAAAGCGUGCGCAGGCGGUUUGCUAAGACCGAUGUGAAAUCCCCGGGCUCAACCUGGGAACUGCAUUGGUGACUGGCAGGCUAGAGUAUGGCAGAGGGGGGUAGAAUUCCACGUGUAGCAGUGAGAUGCGUAGAGAUGUGGAGGAAUACCGAUGGCGAAGGCAGCCCCCCUGGGCCAAUACUGACGCUCAUGCACGAAAGCGUGGGGAGCAAACAGGAUUAGAUACCCUGGUAGUCCACGCCCUAAACGAUGUCAACUAGUUGUUGGGGAUUCAUUUCCUUAGUAACGUAGCUAACGCGUGAAGUUGACCGCCUGGGGAGUACGGUCGCAAGAUUAAAACUUAAAUGAAUUGACGGGGUCAUAGCUGUUUCCU